GUCAGAAUUAGAUACAUACAAGUAAAGCUAUAAAAAAAUGUUUUCUGCAAUCUUUAUUUUCGUUGCUGCCUUUGCCGCAAUUUCUACGCAAACAGAUCCUAUCUGUCCAGCACAGGAUGAAGAUAAUCCAAUUCAUUAUCUCCCACAUGAAGAUUGUACGAAAUUCUACGACUGUACCGAUGGCACGCCGGUAGUCUGGGACUGCCCCGUCGGACUUUACUUUAAUCCUGUCCUGCAAGUUUGUGACUGGCCCGAAGAGUCUGGGUGUGAGGGAAAAACGGAUUAAUUUUUAGUUUAUUGUACUUGUAUGUAAAGAGAAGGUAUAUUAAAAUUUUGUAAAAUCACA